rnacentral:rRNA from 1 species
CCUACGGGAGGCUGCAGUGGGGAAUCUUGCACAAUGGGGGAAACCCUGAUGCAGCGACGCCGCGUGAGUGAAGAAGGAUUUCGGUACGUAAAGCUCUAUCAGCAGGGAAGAAAAAAAGUCCUUUGGACUUUGGACGGUACCUGACUAAGAAGCCCCGGCUAACUAGGUCCCAGCAGCCGCGGUAAUGCGUAGGGGGCAAGCGUUAUCCGGAUUUACUGGGUAUACAGGGUGCGUAGAGGGAAGCGAAAGUCUGAGGUAAAAUGCCGGGCCCAAACUCCGAAACUACUUGGGAAACUGUUCAGCUGGAGAGCAUGAGAGGUAAGCGGAAUUUCUAGUGUAGCAGUGAAAUCCGUAGAUAUUAGGAGGAACACCAGUGGCGAAGGCAGCUUACUGGACCGUAACUGACGUUGAGGCUCGAAAGCGUAGGGAGCAAACGGGAUUAGAUACCCGGGUAGUC